UGACCCGUUACCCGCCUGGUUAGCCCAUUAUACCACUUCUAUGUAAUAUAUUAUGGUCUAAAUAGUUUAUUAAAUGAAGACAAGAUCAUUGAAUAAGACUCAAAUUUGUUUCUUGAGUUUGGUGUUUAGAUGGGAAAUACACAACGGAAGUUGACAGAGUUCUUAGAUCAGGUGGCUUUUGGGUGCUUUCCGGUCCUCCAAUUGAUUUGAGAAAUAAUUACAACUCAUGGCAACAUCCAAAGGAGGAUAUUGAAAAAGAAUAGAAGAAUAUCAAAGAGGUUGAUAAGCUUCUUUCCUAGGAGAAAAUAUUUGAAGUGAAGAAACAAAUACUUUUUGCAAGAAACUACAUCCCCAGUAAUGUCGUGUCUCAGAAGAUGCUCCUGGAGUUACCUAUUGCUCCCAAGAUCUGGAUGAAGUCAGGUGAAUGUACUGACACGCAGAAUCUGUUGGUCAUCAUCCACAAAGCCCAACACGCUUAAGAUGGGGGCAUUGAAGGCAUGGUGACCUGGAUGAAGGUUUAGGUUAUAAAAUAGGUCUUCAAACAAACGAUCAUUAGCAACAUGUUGCUGACUAUGGAGGGAGGUGCAAUGGUAGAAUUUUGUCUUGAUGGUUAAUCAACAUGUACCAUGGGAUCUGCCGUAACGCGCGGGUACCAUGUUAGUUUAAAUUAA